UGCGCAGGCGGUUGUGCAAGACAGAUGUGAAAUCCCCGGGCUUAACCUGGGAAUGGCAUUUGUGACUGCACGGCUAGAGUGUGUCAGAGGGGGGUAGAAUUCCACGUGUAGCAGUGAAAUGCGUAGAUAUGUGGAGGAAUACCGAUGGCGAAGGCACGCCCCUGGGAUAACACUGACGCUCAUGCACGAAAGCGUGGGAGCAAACAGGAUUAGAUACCCUGGUAGUCCACGCCCUAAACGAUGUCAACUAGUUGUCGGGUCUUAAUUGACUUGGUAACGCAGCUAACGCGUGAAGUUGACCGCCUGGGGAGUACGGUCGCAAGAUUAAA
rnacentral:rRNA from 1 species